rnacentral:rRNA from 1 species
CUUGCAGGGUACUCGAGUGGCGAACGGGUGAGUAACACGUGGGUGAUCUGCCCUGCACUUCGGGAUAAGCCUGGGAAACUGGGUCUAAUACCGGAUAGGAACCAUUUUUAGUGUGAUGGUUGGAAAGUUUUUCGGUGUAGGAUGAGCUCGCGGCCUAUCAGCUUGUUGGUGGGGUAAUGGCCUACCAAGGCGGUGACGGGUAGCCGGCCUGAGAGGGUGGACGGCCACAUUGGGACUGAGAUACGGCCCAG